ACGUGGGUGAUCUGCCUCGCACUUCGGGAUAAGCCUGGGAAACUGGRUCUAAUACCGGAUAUGACCUUUCAGUGCAUGCUGUUGGGUGGAAAGAUUUAUCGGUGCGAGAUGGGCCCGCGGCCUAUCAGCUUGUUGGCGGGGUAACGGCCCACCAAGGCGACGACGGGUAGCCGACCUGAGAGGGUGACCGGCCACACUGGGACUGAGACACGGCCCAGACUCCUACGGGAGGCAGCAGUGGGGAAUAUUGCACAAUGGGCGAAAGCCUGAUGCAGCGACGCCGCGUGAGGGAUGACGGCCUUCGGGUUGUAAACCUCUUUCGACAGGGACGAAGCGCAAGUGACGGUACCUGUAGAAGAAGCACCGGCCAACUACGUGCCAGCAGCCGCGGUAAUACGUAGGGUGCGAGCGUUGUCCGGAAUUACUGGGCGUAAAGAGCUUGUAGGCGGUUUGUCGCGUCGUCCGUGAAAACUUGGGGCUCAACCCCAAGCUUGCGGGCGAUACGGGCAGACUUGAGUACUUCAGGGGAGACUGGAAUUCCUGGUGUAGCGGUGAAAUGCGCAGAUAUCAGGAGGAACACCGGUGGCGAAGGCGGGUCUCUGGGAAGUAACUGACGCUGAGAAGCGAAAGCGUGGGUAGCGAACAGGAUUAGAUACCCUGGUAGUCCACGCCGUAAACGGUGGGUACUAGGUGUGGGUUUCCUUCCACGGGAUCCGUGCCGUAGC
rnacentral:rRNA from 1 species